GGCGCGAGCAGGUGCGAAAGCAGGUCAUAGUGAUCCGGUGGUUCUGAAUGGAAGGGCCAUCGCUCAACGGAUAAAAGGUACUCCGGGGAUAACAGGCUGAUACCGCCCAAGAGUUCAUAUCGACGGCGGUGUUUGGCACCUCGAUGUCGGCUCAUCACAUCCUGGGGCUGAAGUAGGUCCCAAGGGUAUGGCUGUUCGCCUUUAAAGUGGUACGCGAGCUGGGUUUAGAACGUCGUGAGACAGUUCGGUCCCUAUCUGCCGUGGGCGCUGGAGAAUUGAGGGGGGGCUGCUCCUAGUACGAGAGGACCGGAGUGGACGCAUCACUGGUGUUCGGGUUGUCAUGCCAAUGGCACUGCCCGGUAGCUAAAUGCGGAAGAGAUAAGUGCUGAAAGCAUCUAAGCACGAAACUUGCCCCGAGAUGAGUUCUCCCUGAGACUUUAAGUCUCCUGAAGGAACGUUAAAGACGAUGACGUUGAUAGGCCGGGUGUGUAAGCGCAGCGAUGCGUUGAGCUAACCGGUACUAAUGAACCGUGAGGCUUAACCUUACAACGCCGAAG
rnacentral:rRNA from 1 species